rnacentral:rRNA from 1 species
UACGAAGGGGGCUAGCGUUACUCGGAUUGACUGGGCGUAAAGGGCGCGUAGGCGGUUCGUACAGUCAGACGUGAAAUUCCUGGGCUCAACCUGGGGGCUGCGUUUGAUACGUGCGGGCUUGAGUUCGGAAGAGGGUCGUGGAAUUCCCAGUGUAGAGGUGAAAUUCGUAGAUAUUGGGAAGAACACCGGUGGCGAAGGCGGUGGUCUGGGCCGGCACUGACGCUGAGGAGCGAAAGCGUGGGGAGCGAACAGG